AACGAACGCUGGCGGCAUGCCUAACACAUGCAAGUCGAACGAGACCUUCGGGUCUAGUGGCGCACGGGUGCGUAACGCGUGGGAAUCUGCCCUCUGGUACGGAAUAACUCAGGGAAACUUGAGCUAAUACCGUAUAAUGACUUCGGUCCAAAGAUUUAUCGCCUGAGGAGGAGCCCGCGUCGGAUUAGCUAGUUGGUGAGGUAAAGGCUCACCAAGGCGACGAUCCGUAGCUGGUCUGAGAGGAUGAUCAGCCACACUGGGACUGAGACACGGCCCAGACUCCUACGGGAGGCAGCAGUGGGGAAUAUUGGACAAUGGGCGAAAGCCUGAUCCAGCAAUGCCGCGUGAGUGAUGAGGGCCUUAGGGUUGUAAAGCUCUUUUACCCGGGAUGAUAAUGACAGUACCGGGAGAAUAAGCCCCGGCUAACUCCGUGCCAGCCGCCGCGGUAA
rnacentral:rRNA from 1 species